rnacentral:lncRNA from 1 species
UUUAACAGCGAUUAGCUUAGUUUUUGUGAUAUUAUUCUUUAUGAAUUGAACUCAAUAUGCUUGUUCUUGUCGCGCUUGUCGGAUAUUGAAGGCAUCAUCAGGAGCAAUUGGAAUAUCUCAGAGUUACCCCUCACAUGACUCUGAAUACUUAUUUUUUGACCUCUUCAAGGGGAUGAAGCAUUUUUUGACCUCUUCAAGGGGAUGAAGCAUUUUGGUCCGAUCAUCACAACACAACUUUUUGAAGUUUAUCCUCUGCAGAUGGCACUCUGCAUUUCACACAACCUUUUGAAGUUUAUCCUCUGCAGACUCUGCAUUUCCGCCGCUGAAGCUGAAAAGAG